rnacentral:rRNA from 1 species
GUGAGGAAUAUUGGUCAAUGGGCGAGAGCCUGAACCAGCCAAGUCGCGUGAAGGAAGAAGGAUCUAUGGUUCGUAAACUUCUUUUGCAGGGGAAUAAAGUGCGGGACGUGUCCUGUUUUGUAUGUACCCUGAGAAUAAGGAUCGGCUAACUCCGUGACAGUAGCCGCGGUAAUACGGAGGAUCCGAGCGUUAUCCGGAUUUAUUGGGUUUAAAGGGUGCGUAGGUGGUUUGAUAAGUCAGCGGUGAAAGUUUGCAGCUUAACUGUAAAAAUGCCGUUGAAACUGUCGGACUUGAGUGUAAAUGAGGUAGGCGGAAUGCGUGGUGUAGCGGUGAAAUGCAUAGAUAUCACGCAGAACUCCGAUUGCGAAGGCAGCUUACUAAGCUACAACUGACACUGAAGCACGAAAGCGUGGGGAUCAAACAGGAUUAGAAACCCCAGUAGUCC